CGUAAAUUAAAAGUAUAUGGUACUCCAUUACUAGUAACACAUGUUACAUUCUUAUCUUAUCUACAGCAGAAUAAAAUAUAUUUUAAAAAAUCACCCCAGGUAUUCAGGUGGAUAAGACGGCAUCUUUGUAUUUUGUUGUUGAUAGGACGGUAUAUUUGUAUGUUGAUAGGGGGAUCUGAAUAUGGCUGUGGAAGUGAGACAUGUGUUAAUUGUGUUGAGCUUGGUUGGAUCUAACCUGGCUAGCUCGGUAAAUAGGACAACCGUCAACAAGCGUGCAAGUAAAAUAUUAUGGCAACUUGACAAUUUCCCUAAUUCUGAUCCUUUGAAAUAUUUCAAACCACACGAUGAUGGAUUCUACAACAAGGGAUCUUUGUCGACUUUUGCUGAUCCAGAAGACCCUCACAGAGAUGUAAUAAGGGUGUUUUAUCAGAAAGGAACCUAUUCUUCUAUACAGGGUUAUUAUGGGGCCCAGUUUUAUAGCAGACCAAUAUCAGAGCAAACGUCCUUGACCUUCUCCUACCAACUCUAUUUCAGUCCUGGAUUUGAUUUUGUUCGAGGUGGUAAACUCCCGGGUCUAGCAGGAGGCGAAGAAGCGACGUGUUCAGGUGGACGACACUCGGAAACUUGCUUCUCUGCCAGAUUGAUGUGGCGCAGAGAAGGAGAUGGGGAAAUCUACGCCUACUUACCUGAACAAGUCGACGAUUUCUGUGAGCGACCCGAUGCCAUCUGUUCUCCGACCAUCAAAGGAACAUCUUUGGGACGCAGCGAUUUCCGGUGGAGAACGGGUGUAUGGAUGAAAGUGAGCGAACACGUGACACUGAAUGACGUGGGUAAAGAUAACGGAAUUGCCAAGCUUUGGAUUGAUGACAAGUUGGUUUACUCGGGUCAUAAUAUCAGAUGGAGAGUUCGAGAUGACGUCAAAAUCAGCAGCGUCUUCUUCUCCACCUUCUUUGGUGGAAAUACUCCCGAAUGGGCGGCGACUGACAACUGCUAUACAUAUUUUAAAGAAUUUAUUUUAUCAACAGGAGACCAACCACCAGUUGCAGGGUGAAAUUGAAUGGUUUUAUCUGUGAAAUAAAAUGAUUUCCCACAAGACAA